UAGUCAAAAGGGAAACAGCCCAGACCAUCAGCUAAGGUCCCCAAUGCCGUGCUAAGUGGCGAAGGAUGUGGCAUUUCAUAAACAACCAGGAUGUUGGCUCAGAAGCAGCCACCAUUUAAAGAGUGCGUAAUAGCUCACUGGUCGAGAGACGCUGCGCCGAAAAUGUCCGGGGCUCAAGCACGGAACCGAAGCUAUGGCAUGAUAGCAAUAUCAUGGGUAGGGGAGCGUUCUUAUAAGGAAGAAGCAUGACCGGAAGGACAUGUGGACAAAUAAGAAGUGAGAAUGCCGGUAUGAGUAUCGAAAAGAAAGGUGAGAAUCCUUUCCACCGAAAGCCCGAGGGUUCCUGAGCAACGAUCGUCGACUCAGGGUAAGUCGGGACCUAAGCCGAGGCGAAAAGCGUAGGCGAUGGACAACAGGUUGAAAUUCCUGUACCGGAUCAAGUCGAUUGAGCGAAGGAGCGACGCAGGAGGGCACAUGAUCGCGCGGCUGGAAGAGCGCGUCCAAGUGCGUAUGUUGCAGCAGAGGAAAACCCCUGCGGCUGAAAGCAGAGACAUGAUGGGGAGUUAAAGGAAACUUUGACGAACUCAUGAAUCCCACACUGCCAAGAAAAACUUCUAGCGAGACAAGAUCCGCCCGUACCGUAAACCGACACAGGUAGGCGGGGAGAGAAUCCUAAGGUGCGCGGGAAAACCCUCGUUAAGGAACUCGGCAAAUUGCAUCCGUAACCUAGGGAGAAGGAUGGCCCCCGGUCAGUGAAGAGCAGAAACGCUCAGAGCUAAAAGGGGCGGCAGAAAAGAGGCCCAAGCAACUGUUUACCAAAAACACAGGUGCCUGCGAAAGCGAAAGCUGAAGUAUAGGUGCUGACGCCUGCCCGGUGCCGGAAGGUUAAGGAGAGAAGUUAGCGAAAGCGAAGCAUCGAACUGAAGCCCCGGUGAACGGCGGCCGUAACUAUAACGGUCCUAAGGUAGCGAAAUUCCUUGUCGGGUAAGUUCCGACCCGCAUGAAAGGCGUAAUGAUUUGGGCACUGUCUCAACGAGGGGCCCGGUGAAAUUGAAAUACCUGUGAAGAUGCAGGUUACCCGCGACUGGACAGAAAGACCCCAUGGAGCUUCACUGCAGCUUGAGAUUGAAUCCCGGUGACAGAUGCACAGGAUAGGUGGGAGGCGCCGAAGCAUUGCCCUAGGGCGGUGCGGAGCCGAUGUUGGGAUACCACCCUUCUGUUGCUGAGAUUCUAACGCGAGGAGUAACGACCCUGCGGACCCUCUCAGGCAGGCGGUUUGACUGGGGCGGUCGCCUCCGAAAGAGUAACGGAGGCGCCCAAAGGUUCCCUCAGGCCGGACAGAAACCGGCCGAAGAGUGCAAAGGCAGAAGGGAGCUUGACUGCGAGACCAACAAGUCGAGCAGAGACGAAAGUCGGGCUUAGUGAUCCGGUGGUACUGAGUGGAAAGG
rnacentral:rRNA from 1 species